rnacentral:rRNA from 1 species
GUCUGAGAGGAUGAUCAGCCACAUUGGGACUGAGACACGGCCCAAACUCCUACGGGAGGCAGCAGUGGGGAAUCUUGCGCAAUGGGCGAAAGCCUGACGCAGCCAUGCCGCGUGAAUGAUGAAGGUCUUAGGAUUGUAAAAUUCUUUCACCGGGGACGAUAAUGACGGUACCCGGAGAAGAAGCCCCGGCUAACUUCGUGCCAGCAGCCGCGGUAAUACGAAGGGGGCUAGCGUUGCUCGGAAUUACUGG